UUGUGCGAUUUCCACCCCCCCCACACCUUACCCUGUCGUGCUCUCCUCUCCCCUCCUCCGUGCCAUCUCUCCCAGUCCCCCAACCCUGGCCGAUCUGGUGAUCUCCCUCCUGCGCCCUCAACUCCUUUCCCUCUCCCCUGUACGUGCGCCACCUCCACCCCCCUUCAGCCUGGUGUACGAUCUCCACCUCAACUCCCCUCCAGAUCACACCCCUCCCCUGUCCUCUACCGUGGGCAGCCCUAUCUCCACCCCUUAGCGCCGUGCCCACGCCGUCUCCCUGUCGAUUCGCCUCCCCUGCCAAACAGCAAGCAGCCACUGACCAAUUUCCCCAACAAAAAUUCAUUGAUCCCCGGCUGCCCUUGUUCGCAGCAGCAGUUUCCUAGCCGAACAGCGUGGAACAAUAGCAAUCUGUCGCUGAUCACUCCACCAAAUCUCAGGUUCG